AUAGAUCUGUCAAGAAGAAGCAGAACCUCUCUCAGGAAUCAAAAUUCUGUGUUUAUGGAAGAACAUUACUUUAACCAUGAUACAAGACAACACACUGGAAUAACAGAUGAAGAUUCUUCUGAAGACUUAAGGCUUGCCAUGAUGGCUAGACAACAGUCAAUAAUGGAAAGAUGAGGGAAGUAUAAAAAUGUUUACAAUUCACACCCUGGGCUUCCUGCCUGAAGAAGGAUAUCAACCACUUGCUGGAAGUAUACAUGUCAGAAAGCUGGGAUUGUCAGCAAUGAAAAUA
rnacentral:lncRNA from 1 species